AAACUCCGAUGCCAUCGAGUGGCGGGAUUCACCACGACGUUGGGUGUGUGAAUACAGAAGAAGCAAACCAGACCGUCGCAGCUACCAUAGCAAAGCAAGACGUUCGGAAAAGGGAACUUGACAGUACGGUAUAUGCAAGAAGAAGAAGAGCCCAAGGCAUGUUGAGCUACAUCAUCAGGAGGAUCCUCGUAAUAGGCUACGAAAAGGAGAUCAUGACCUCGUGAUUGCCUGCGAAGGUUCAGCUGCCUUGACUGGAAACGAGGGGAAUCGAUUGUGGAUAUCCACUUCUUGGACACAGACCUGAAUCUCCGCAGAGAUUCCACGGGAAGUCUCUCGAGUAUGAGCUCUA
rnacentral:lncRNA from 1 species